UACAGAGGGUGCAAGCGUUGUUCGGAAUUAUUGGGCGUAAAGGGCGCGUAGGCGGUGCGGUAAGUCUGCGGUGAAAUCUCCCGGCUCAACUGGGAGUCUGCCGUGGAAACUGCCGUGCUUGAGGACUGGAGAGGAGACUGGAAUUUACGGUGUAGCGGUGAAAUGCGUAGAUAAUCGUAAGGAAGACCAGUGGCGAAGGCGGGUCUCUGGACAGUUCCUGACGUGAGGCACGAAGGCCAGGGGAGCAAACGGG
rnacentral:rRNA from 1 species